rnacentral:snRNA from 1 species
GAGUUAUCGACUGUUACGUCAUC